UACGUAGGUGGCAAGCGUUGUCCGGAAUUAUUGGGCGUAAAGCGCGCGCAGGCGGCUUCUUAAGUCCGAUGUGAAAUCUCGGGGCUCAACCCCGAGCGGCCAUUGGAAACUGGGAAGCUUGAGUACAGAAGAGGAGAGUGGAAUUCCACGUGUAGCGGUGAAAUGCGUAGAUAUGUGGAGGAACACCAGUGGCGAAGGCGACUCUCUGGUCUGUAACUGACGCUGAGGCGCGAAAGCGUGGGGAGCAAACGGG
rnacentral:rRNA from 1 species